AGAUUUACAUGGGAAUAUUCUAAAAUCAGCAUUAAAACAAUAUGUGCAUUUUCCCACCAGAGAGGUGUUUCCAUCACAUUGACUUGUUGCGGAUAAAAGGCUGUGCUUGAUGACAUUAGUGCAGAUAAAAAUACCCUUUGCAGUAAAAUUUCCAUGUACCGAAAAAAAAUACAAGUUAAAUGGGUUUACAUGGCAUUUUCAACUCUACUGAGGGUUUUCUCACAAUUAUUUGUUGAACUUUAUAGCAAAUGUGCCCACUCCGGUAUUGUCACGAGCGCUUAAGCCCACAGCGCUAUUUGAAAGCAGCAUCAAACUCAUCACCAUGCACAUUCCCCACCCUGUGAAGUUCAACAUAAACAUAUUUAAUCUGUUGCCUAAUAAACAACAUGCUUUCCCGACAAGUCAUAGUGGCAGGACCACACACGUCAUAGUGUGUCUCCAAGUUUACUUCCAUAUCAUGGUUAUUAUAUCAAUAUUUGGCCUUAAAAGCGUUUCCACCAACAUGUCUUGCAUACAUAUUUUUACUGACACAAAAAGAUCCCACCUUGUCUACCGUAUUUUGUUUUCUUGACAAUUAGAAAGUUUUCCAAAACAUUUUCUGUUUCCAUCAGGCCUGUCAUGACAUUUUUUAAACGACAUGUACUUUACUCGCAUAAAAAGGUGAGAUGAAAAACAGGUUAGUGUUCUCUUUACCUGUCCCUGAUGGAUUCCCUUCAGCAGAGCGAAUGUGCUGAGAUGGUUGCAGGAGCACACAGUGUGGGUGGAGUUCGAAAUCACUAAGGUGCAACCCCUCCCAGACCACACCCCCGGUCCAUUCUCAUCCGACCAAUAAACACAGGUGGGGUCAACAUCACUGGACUAGGACACAGUGUAUAUGGGUUGGGGUCAAUUCCAUUUAGACUCAGU